UCGGAUUCUUCUAAAACACCCCAAAAAUAAGACACAAAACCACAAGAUGUUGUCAUAUCUCUUCAAAUAUUUAUAUAUAUAUAUAUUUCUAAUAUACUCAUCACUUUGUCCAUACAUACACACACACACACACGCAGAUUUAUAUACAAACAAAAAUAAACAUAAAACAUCCUUUCAGAACUUCCAUUCACGAUGCCAAACCAGCUAAGAGGUCAAGUAAAUGACACAUUUUGGAAAUCAUUUAAAGCUUAAACAUAUAUUUCCUUCUGUCAACGAAACCCCCCCCAAUUUAAGCAUUUUCCUCUCGCCUCCGACACUUUCUCAACAAACGGGUGGAAACAUUUACACAAUCUCACGUGAGGAAAUGUAUGUACACUUGAAAGCAAGAAACACGGUGAGCAGACAUGAACAUCACAUCCUGCACAGGCUUGAUGCUGCACACAAGGGUCCUGGUGGGCGGAAAAGGAGAAAAAAACAAGUCACGAUAACUCCACAAAAGGAAUGACGUCAUGAUAUAAAAAGCAAUAUUCCCUUUCUUGUAAACACGUCAAACACCAGGUGUGAAAUUUAAGACAUCAUUUUUCAUCACAGAAAGCACUGCAGUUAAAACAAAAGCCAAACAUCUUCACAGCCGUGUUAAGACAAACUUUAUAUUGAAACAUGACGCAAAUUACCUACGUGUCUGAUAUUGCUUUCUUGAGUAGAUUUAUAGGAAGAAUUAAAACAAAAAUCCGCUCACGUAGAGACCACACGUCACGUUGAACUAAAUGGUAGCUGAUAAAAAAAGUGCUAACACUUCACAAACAUUAUACAGACAAACUAAAGGUAUCACAGGCAAAGUGGGAAUGUAAAGAGUAGCUGCGUGGACCCACGGAUGGGUUUAAGGAAAGCAAAGUUUAAUAUGAAUAGUGUUUCCUGGACUGAUUAGUGUAGUGUAUACCAUUAUGAAACACGCUGUAAACCUCAUCAGUGCAGGACACGCUAAUGGUUCUGACCUCGGCCAGCUAAACGCGACGCCCCCUUCACCCCCCCGCCCCCCCCCGCCUACCACGUCUAAUACGCUUUCUUAGCUCAGCAACGGGACAUUCUCGAGAUUCCUCUGCAGCUUCAGGCAUCCAAUGCGGUUUGGUCAUUUCUCAGAAUUUCAGCAAACUAUAUCAAGUAGUGAAAAGGUUUUUAGUGCAUUUGACCGUUUAGGUCAGUAAAGCACAAGAAAAGAGGGACCUCCGACGUGCUCCUAAUAAAUACAUGGACAUGUCUCAAGAGGACAGGUUCAACCAAGGCCGGUCAAGGUAAAGGAGCAUCGUGACAGUAAAAGUCACAGCCGCAGGCAUACUGUCGAGGAGGACAGGCCAACAGGCAACACGCAGAACGGCUCAUCCUGAAGUCCCCCCCGUCCCCCGUCCCUCCACUGAGUUUAAACGCAGCUCGGGGACGCCGGGCCGCGACACUUGUGUGCAGACUUGAGUGGAGCAGACGGCCGAGUAGAGCGGCGUCUCACUCCCACAGAGCGGCCCACUGCCCGGUGACAGACGCCAGGAGGGCCUCUCUCUCUCUCCCCUCCCUCCCUCCCUCCCUCCCUCCCAGCCACUGCAGCGCCACUGGGAUGUGCUCGCCGAGCUGCGGGGGGGGCAAUCUGUCAGACGACGCUCUACGGGAAAUGCGAGCGCCGCCGAGGUGAGAGACACGGGGGGGAGGGGCUUCACACUUUGGGUCCGGCUUUGGCCAGAUCAUAGCAGCUUACCAGGAAACAGGAAAACAGGAAAAGGUCGGCACAACAAAAACUCUACAGCAGUGAACAAAAUAAUAUAAGACUCAACAAAUCAAACGCACCCUCAGAAAUGCAUUUUGUAUAUAAAGUGUCUGUUGCAGCCUCAGCCGAAUAUUCAUCCAUUCUCCCCAACAUUCCACUUCAGUAUGUUUAUAAAUAUAUAAUUAUAUACAUAUAACACUAUUUUCAUAAAUACUUCAUGAUGCUGGGAGCGGCUGUGGUAGAGUUUGCUCAGCUGGGGAUGGCUUUAGUUAAAAGUUAGGGAGAUUGAACCCAUGCUGACACAUCCUCCUCCCUGUCAGUGCAGAGAAGAGGAGGAGGAGGAGGAAGAGGAAGAGAAGGAGGCUUCUCUUGCUGAGCAACAAGUAAACAGUGAAGUAGUAAACAUCAGACAGAGUCAGCCUGCAGCGUAGCUGCUCAGGAAGGAGUAGAACAUGGGCAGCUUCAUGCGCUGCUGGUCCCGCCGACACCACGCCAUCACCGUGCCCUCGCUGUUGGCCGUGUAGAGGUGGUGGCCGUCACAGGAGUACGUC
ensembl:lncRNA